rnacentral:tRNA from 2 species
GGGGGCAUAGCUCAGUUGGGAGAGCGAUACGUUCGCAACGUAUAGGUCAGGGGUUCGAAUCCCCUUGUCUCCACCA